rnacentral:rRNA from 1 species
GACGAACGCUGGCGGCGUGCUUAACACAUGCAAGUCGAGCGGUAAGGCCCUUUCGGGGGUACACGAGCGGCGAACGGGUGAGUAACACGUGGGUGACCUGCCCUCAGCUCUGGGAUAAGCCCGGGAAACUGGGUCUAAUACUGGAUAUGACUCCACGGUGCAUGUCGUGGGGUGGAAAGCCUUGUGCGGCUGAGGAUGGGCCCGCGGCCUAUCAGCUUGUUGGUGGGGNGAUGGCCUACCAAGGCGACGACGGGUAGCCGGCCUGAGAGGGCGACCGGCCACACUGGGACUGAGACACGGCCCAGACUCCUACGGGAGGCAGCAGUGGGGAAUUUUGGACAAUGGGCGCAAGCCUGAUCCAGCCAUGCCGCGUGCGGGAAGAAGGCCU